rnacentral:lncRNA from 1 species
UUCUUUCAUUUCUUCUUUCUCAGCAUCAGACUCUUUCUUUUUUGCCCAGAAAUGAUCUAAUGCCUCCACACAUGCAUCUCCUCCCCCUCGACGCAAUGAUUCUUUAGCCCUCUAACUACCAAUUGGUCUUUUGGGGACAUCAGUGUUUAUAUUUCCAUUCUCAUUGUUUUCACGCAUGGUACUAUCACCCAUAAUGGCACCA